rnacentral:lncRNA from 1 species
UUUUGUGAAAGAUCACAGGUAUGUAGUUCUUAUGAACGAUCACAGAUUCACAGGUAUGUAGUUCUUAUAACUCUAAUUAUUUUUGCAUGCUAUUAAUUUAUGUUGUUUCCUGGUUUUGCUUAGGAUACCGCUUCUAAUAAGAACAUAAUUGGACAAACCUUAUUGCUUUCAUGCUAUUGAAAAGACAAUUGGCGCAUUCUCACUACUUGCAACUUCGGUUUUCAUCAGCUUUGGUGUGUGGUCUCAAAGAUCUUAGCUGAGGAAGCUGCUUGGGAAUUUGCAAAACAAAACAGAAUUGAUAUGUUUACACUUACAGUACAUGCAUGAAUAGUGAGUAGCCUUCUCCGAUAGCCAACUGUGAACACAAGCAUGGAGCCCCUUCUAAGACUCAUAAACGGUACAAUAAAGAAGGAUCUCUCAUAGAUGGGAUGAUAUUUAGAGAUGUUGCAAACGCACAUAUUCUAGCAUUUGAGAAUCCUUCCCUGCUCUCAAUCUUCUGGGAAAGUAAGCUUCUAACUAAAUUGCAGGAACUUUUAAUCAUAUGAAAUAUGUGGAAUAACAUUAUUCAUCAUUACAUAUAUUGCUACAUAGGACAAGCAUCUAAGUUUACCUCAGAAUGCCCAAUUGAAAUUCACCAGAAAAAAAAAUCCAAAAACGGAAACCUAGCCAAGAAAGUAGAGUGGAAACAAUAGAUAUAUAAGAACAAAUCCGGGAGCAGAUCACCCAAGUGAAUCCAGAUGCCUUCAAGUCUAAGCAGCCACACUGUGAAGCACGACGGUCUCGACGGUGAGCCCAGGCCCAAACCCAAAUAGAACACCCCACUCUAGCCCUUCUCCAGUGGUCUUGUGCCCAUUAGCUGCAGACUUCCUCCUCACCUCGUCCAAAAUAAACAACACACAAGCACUAGACAUGUUGCCAUACUCGGAUAAUAUAUGCCUUGUGGCUUCUAACUUUUCGGGUUUGAGGCCCAAUUUAGCCUCUACUUGGUCCAAAAUUGCAGGGCCACCCGGGUGUGCAAUCCAGAAUAGUGAGUUCCAGUCCGUGAUAUUCAAAGGUUUGAAGGCCUCGUUGAGGCUCUUCUCAACGUUCUUAGAAAUCAGCCCGGGAACAUCCUUGAGAAGGUGAAAUGUGAGCCCAACUUCACGAAGAUGCCCGUCGAUGGCU